AUCUCCCAAAUUGUCGAACAAGAGAUUAAGAAGAAAUUCAAUGCCGAAAGAAAUCCUUAAAAGAGAUUAAAGCAUGUAUGGAUGAAAACAAGGAUUUCUGCUACAAGAAUUGAAAAAAUCAUAGUAAAUAAUAAAGUAAUUACAAAUCCAAAAUCAAUUCUAAAAGUGUUUCAGGUUAAUUAUCAAUGAAUAUAAGAAAUAUGGAUGCUUUAAGAGUGGAUUUACUAGACUAAACAAGUGGCAUCUUUUUCUAUCUUUAAAUAUGAUAAUAUAUUUGACUAUAUCAAUAAGUUUUAUGGAAAUGGCAAAGCUUUUGUACCUGACAAUAUAAAAGGAAAACUAUAUAACCUAUAUACCGUGUAUACUGUUUCCUAUAUACUUAGGUAUGGAUUCGAGAUGGAAAAGAGGGGUAUGCUCCCGUCAGCUCUAACUCGAGGUAGGAUUUCCCUCAUACCCUAAAAAAGGUAAUGCGACAUCACUUAGUCGUUGGAAGCCUUUCACAAUACUUAAAGAAUCUUAGCAGGUGUUUCAGCUAAACAAAUCGACCCUAUACUUUACAAAAACUUGGGCUCAGAACAAAAAAGGUUUUUUUUAAACGACAUAUUACCGACAUUUCACGAAUUAUCCAGGCAACUAUCAAUACCGUUAAAAUGAGAAAAAUUGACUUCAGCAAUGCUUUUGACUCUGUGAUUGAUGGAUUACAGAGUAACCAUAUAGUCUUAGGAAAAAGCUUUUCGACAAGGAUGCCCCGUAUCUCUGUUAAUGUUUGUGGCUGCAAUUGAACAAUUAAGUUGUACACUUAUGCGGAAAUAUGGAGGUUUUGGUUUUUCCAUAGGAAGUAAAGAGCAUUUGGUGGAUCUUUGUGCAGAAGACCUUACACUGAUGGUAGAGAGAAAUUUGGACAGACAAGGAUGAAAAUCAAUGCAGAAAAGACUUCCAUUGUUUGUAUUUGUAGAUGGUUGCAUUGGGCCUUCCACAAUAAUUAGAGGAUGUAAAUUAGUUGAAAGCGUAAAUAAUUUGGGAAUAGGUUGGGAGAGAAAUCAACCUUCUUCAUCUAACUUUGUAAAUCUAAACUCUCAAGCCCACAAGUGGUAUCCGGCCUGGAGAACAUUUAGCUUGCAAAAGAAAGUAGACCUAUACAACUCCAAAUUAAUUGAUCAAAUGAUUUAUGUGGCCACAACUCUACCAUCGGUUAGCGAGGGGCUCUUAAAGGACGAAGAAGGGUGGUUGAAUAGAUUAUUUGAUAAAAGAUACGUCCUUGGCCCAAAGAGACAUCGGUAUCAACUAGGAGGAAUACCAGUACUACUUGCAAAUAUUUUAACAAAAAUUUACAUAAGCAUUUUUACGACUAUCACCUCAAAACGUCAGUUGGAAUGGAGGAUAUUCAUCACUGAGUCAUCCGUCUAUAAGAUAUUGAUUUUUGGUACAGAAUAUUCCAACAAUCCAUUGUGGUAUUGUGGCAUUUUAUUCCAUGGAAUGGGUAGCUGCACAAUAAGUAAAUCACCGGUAUUUGAUUUCAAUAGUACUAAAGAUAUCAUCCACCGAAAUGGAAACAAGUAGUCAUUUUUUAGAACCUCCAAAAACAACUGAAAGAGCUGGAAACGAUUGCCAUCAACGAGGACGUUUUUAAGACUUCAGUAACGGGAUCAGAAAUCGAUUUUUAAUACUGGAAGAUUUUACUAACCUCUGCAGAGAUCAGCAAAGUGGCACUUUUCACUUACUCCUAGGUAUCUGAAAUUUAAUUCGGAAAUUUUGAAAUAUUCUGUUGCGUGUCUUAUCACUAAGGAAUACAUAAGGAGUAAGGUGGAGCUUAAUUUUUAAAUUUGAAACUCUGAGGGUCGUAUAUAAAUUUUGAACGGUUUUUAAAAAUAUUUAGAGGUAGCUCAACGGCUCUAAAAUUUUGAAGUUUUACGAUUUUUGUCAAAAGAAAAUAUUUUGACCUCAAAUAAGCCCUUGGUGUUAUAACAAAUCUUUAAAAAAAUAGGAAUUUAGUUUAAUGAAUUUGAAAUAAAAAACAUUUAUUAUUUUUUUACUAGUGGUUGGCACUAAUCGGACAAAAAGAGCAAAUGCUGUCAUAAAUUACAUUUUUUGCUAUAUGUCUAUCUGUCUGAUCGUAAAAGAAAUGUUAUUUAUAUUUACAAUUUAUGUGUCCUAAAUUAAUAGAAAUGGUGAAUUUAUUACUUUUAUAGAAUAGCUUACGUUAGGAUAAAUUUGACCUUUUUUCGAAGAAAGGUAAUUUUUAAGCUAAAUCCAUUUAAUAAAUCGUAAUUGAGGUAUUAAUAAAUACUCAUUGUAAAGACAUUGACCUUUUUCUGGCCUUUACUUGAUAAAAAUUCUUCAUAUUCAAAUUUUAAUCAAUAAAGAAAGUUAAAAAAAAAUAAUUUUAUUUAAGACUACGAUAAUAUUUCUGAGCAUUGCUAUUUAUUUCAAAUUUUUCAUGAUGUUUGUUGAUCCAUUUUUCAUAACAAAGAUUAUUUUAACGGAUUUUUAGAGCUAAUCUUGUAAUGUU
rnacentral:lncRNA from 1 species